AUUCCAGCUCCAAUAGCGUAUAUUAAAGUUGUUGCAGUUAAAAAGCUCGUAGUUGGAUUUCUGGCAGGAGCGACCGGUCCGCCGCAAGGUGUGCACUAGGUUGUCUCCAGUCAUCUUUGUGGGAACUGCUCUGGCAUUAGGUUGUCGGGGUUAGGGAACACAUCGUUUACUGUGAAAAAAUUAGAGUGUUUAAAGCAGGCUUAUGCCGUUGAAUACAUUAGCAUGGAAUAAUAAGAUAGGACUUUGGUGGUCUAUUUUGUUGGUUUGCACACCAAGGUAAUGAUUAAUAGGGAUAGUUGGGGGUAUUCGUAUUUAAUUGUCAGAGGUGAAAUUCUUGGAUUUGUUAACGACGGACUACUGCGAAAGCAUCUGCCAUGGAUGUUUUCAUUG
rnacentral:rRNA from 1 species